GUGAUUUAUGUUGAACAGAAUGGGGAUUGAAUCAUUGAUUUCUGUAUUCUUCUUCCUUACUUGAGUUUUCUCAUUGAUCCCAAGAACUUCGGUUUUUCUUAUUAAAGUCGGUUCGGUUUCUGGAAAUUAUCAAAUGUGGUUUUCGGCUUUUUCGAACCAAAUCUACGGAAUGAACACCCUAGUGACUUGUAGGUUUUGUUUGUUUCUCAUGCUUUUAUGGUCUGUUUCUUGAGUAAUUUUUCUACUU
rnacentral:misc_RNA from 1 species